GGGGCAGUUUUUAGUACGUAGGCGCCAUGGGUGGCGAAUCGUGCAUACUGCUAAUAAGAACCGUCAAUGUCUCUUGAAGAUUUUCUACCCCC
rfam:Glossina pallidipes unplaced genomic scaffold Scaffold353, whole genome shotgun sequence.